AAGAUGGGGGUUUGGGUUUCGGGUUUCGGGUUUGGGGUUUCGGGUUUCGGGUUUGGGGUUUCGGGUUUGAGGUUUCGGGUUUCGGGGUUGGGGCUGGUUUCGGGUGUGGGGUUUCGGGUUUCGGGUUUCGAGUUUCGGGUUUCGGGUUUGGGGUUUCGGGUUUCGGGUUUCGGGUUUCGGGGUUGGGGUUUUGGGUUUCGGGUUUGGGGUUUCGGGUUUCGGGUUUGGGGUUUCGGGUUUCGGGUUUCGGGUUUCGGGGUUGGGGUUUUGGGUUUCGGGUUUGGGGUUUCGGGUUUCGGGUUUGGGGUUUCGGGUUUCGGGUUUGGGGUUUGGAAUAUAUGAAGUAGAAAAUUAAAGAUGGGGGUUUGGAAUAUAUGAAGUAGAAAAUAAGGAAUAUGGGGUUUGGGGUUUCAGGUUUCAGGUUUGGGGUUUCGGGUUUCGGGUUUGGGGUUUGGAAU
rnacentral:lncRNA from 1 species